UAAGGAAGUGUGUUCAGGUCCCAUGGCUGU
rnacentral:piRNA from 1 species